UACUACAUAAAACGACCGCGUUUAUUUAUCAUAAUAUCACCGACGAAUUUAGCAUGUACCCAUUUUCUCUCUCCGUUUUUCGCAACCAUAGAGAAUCACCGGCGCCACCACCACCUCUGCUUCUUCGUCCUCUCCUUUCUCGCCUCCUUCACCAUGGCCACACUCUCAGCUCCUCCUCCUCAUCGGAUGACGAUCUCUUCCGUCGGAGACUACAACCAUUGUUUACAUCCACGUCAUUGAAGAUGUAAUCGAGAAAGUUCGCGAAGAGUUCGUCGUUAAUGGUGGUCCCGGCGAAAAAGUUCUCUAAGAACUUCAAGGACUGCGGGAGUUGAAAAUGAUUCAAGCUGGAGCAGUAUUGCAGCCGAGGGAGAGGUCGUUGGUGCCCAAGCCGGCUCCGAGAGCUGGCAUAACGUUGUUCAUGGUUUGAAUGUGCCAUAUGAAGGAACUGAAGAGUAUGCUUUUCCCCCCUAAAUUUAUCAAGGAGGAAAAAAGAUAGAGUCGAAGAAAUGGAGGAGAAGUUGGUGAGCUCAAUCUGUUUGCAAUUGAUGGCAGAAAAUUUAUUGACGAGGAGGGGCAAAUAAGAAUUAUUAAGAUAGAGAAAAUUUGCUGAUGAGAGAGAAAGAAACAUAGAGGAAAGGGAAACAUAGAAGAAUAAAAAGAUUCAUCAAUUUUCAUAUUUUUUAUUUGUUUAUUUUCCGAAUGAUAAUUUUCUACCGAAAUGUAGCGUAGUUAUUAAACUUGUGCGGACGUACUAGAGUUUGUGAUAUAUUAAUUAAUAUUACUUAAUUAGUCUGAAUUAUUAUUUCUCAAAAAACAA